rnacentral:rRNA from 1 species
AGUGAACGCUGGCGGUAGGCCUAACACAUGCAAGUCGAACGGCAGCACAGUAAGAGCUUGCUCUUACGGUUGGCGAGUGGCGGACGGGUGAGGAAUACAUCGGCAUCUACUUUUUCGUGGGGGAUAACGUAGGGAAACUUACGCUAAUACCGCAUACGACCUACGGGUGAAAUCAGGAGAUCUUCGGACCUUGCGCGAUUGAAUGAGCCGAUGUCGGAUUAGCUAGUUGGCGGGGUAAAGGCCCACCAAGGCAACGAUCCGUAGCUGGUCUGAGAGGAUGAUCAGCCACACUGGAACUGAGACACGGUCCAGACUCCUACGGGAGGCAGCAGUGGGGAAUAUUGGACAAUGGGCGCAAGCCUGAUCCAGCCAUACCGCGUGGGUGAAGAAGGCCUUCGGGUUGUAAAGCCCUUUUGUUGGGAAAGAAAAGCAGCAGGUUAAUACCCCGCUGUUCUGACGGUACCCAAAGAAUAAGCACCGGCUAACUUCGUG